AUUGAACGCUGGCGGCAGGCCUAACACAUGCAAGUCGAGCGGAUGAAGGGAGCUUGCUCCUGGAUUCAGCGGCGGACGGGUGAGUAAUGCCUAGGAAUCUGCCUGGUAGUGGGGGAUAACGUCCGGAAACGGGCGCUAAUACCGCAUACGUCCUGAGGGAGAAAGUGGGGGAUCUUUGGACCUCACGCUAUCAGAUGAGCCUAGGUCGGAUUAGCUAGUUGGUGGGGUAAAGGCCUACCAAGGCGACGAUCCGUAACUGGUCUGAGGGGAUGAUCAGUCACACGGAACCUGAGACACGGUCCAGACUCCAACGGGAGGCAGCAGGGGGAAAUAUUGGACAUGGGGGGAAAGCCUGAGCCAGCCAGGCGGCGUGUGUGAAGAAGGUCUUCGGAUGGUAAAGCACGUUAAGUGGGGAGGAAGGGCAGUAAGUUAAUACCGUGCUGUUUUAACGUUACCAACAGAAUAAGCACCGGCUAACUUCGG
rnacentral:rRNA from 1 species